AAGGUGUUGAUUAAGACAUUGUUUACUCUUUGAUCCAUAAUCACAAUGAUCACAGUCAAAAUUUUCUGAAACAUCCUGUUUGAAAUGUAGCCUACUAUUUGUUGUGUGUUGACCAAAGUCACAUUGAGUUUUAAUAUUCCAUCCACCAUCAGUUUGUUGUGGUACUUCAUAAUCGAGAGAUUUGGAGCAUUGUGCGGGAUUGCAAUGAAAAAACCGAAAAUGAAUUAAAAGGACUACUGGAUUUCUAAUUGGUGUACGGAAUCUGGUUCCAGUUGGUAGGAGGUGCAGGAAUUAAAUUAAGUUUUAGUUUCUUCUCGAUUUAAGAGGAACAAGGAGAAGCACAAAACGUGGGAAAAUGAGAAUGGAUUUAAAUUCAAAGAAUGUGGACGACAAAGGUGACAUCUAACGGAGGAAUUUUAUAAGACGUAAAUAAAAUUUCUAAGUUAUUAUUAUGAUAAAACUGAGCGGAGAAAAAUAACGUUUUUUUGACAUUUUUAUUACUUACACCUAUAUUUAUAAUAA